rnacentral:snoRNA from 1 species
GAGCUGUGAUGAAAACAUUUUUAUUUGAUUCAACAUGAUUCAUAUAAAUUUGAGCUUUUUAAAUCUGAGCUCA